GUGCAGUGGAUUUAAGCUCCACAAAUAAAAGUUAAUACUUUUUUUAGAA
rnacentral:tRNA from 1 species